AUGCCCAACCUAUACGGCUGCAUACCCAAGCAACGACGAACGACGAGAACUAUGGCGGAUGGGCUCAAUGGCAACUCCUGGGCACGUGACAUCCAAGGAAACCUAGGCCUCCAUGAGAUUGGUCAGUAUCUGCAACUCUGGCAGAUCAUGCAGCGCACCGAGCUUUCCACCACACCGGACAAGUUGAUUUGGCGCUGGACAGUGAGCGGCAACUACUCUGCGAAGUCCUGCUACACGGCGACCUUCCUUCGAGCAACGGCCUGCCACUCAUGGAAGUUGGUCUGGAAAUGCUGGGCGCCACCGCGAGUCAAGUUCUUCCACUAG
rnacentral:rRNA from 1 species